UACAGAGGUCCCAAGCGUUGUUCGGAUUCAUUGGGCGUAAAGGGUGCGUAGGCGGCGCGGUAAGUCGGGUGUGAAAUCUCGGAGCUUAACUCCGAAACUGCAUUCGAUACUGCCGUGCUUGAGGACUGGAGAGGAGACUGGAAUUUACGGUGUAGCGGUGAAAUGCGUAGAUAUGUGGAGGAAUACCGAUGGCGAAGGCAGCCCCCUGGGAUAACACUGACGCUGAGGCGCGAAAGCGUGGGGAGCAAACAGG
rnacentral:rRNA from 1 species